rnacentral:rRNA from 1 species
AACGUAGGACACGAGCGUUAUCCGGAGUUACUGGGCGUAAAGCGCGCGUAGGUGGAACGUUAAGUCCGGUCUGAAAGCCCCCGGCUCAACCGGGGAGGGUGGCUGGAAACUGGCGUUCUUGAGGGCGAGAGAGGAGGGUGGAAUUCCUGGUGUAGCGGUGAAAUGCGUAGAGAUCAGGAGGAACACCGGUGGCGAAGGCGGCGUUCUGGACUGCAACUGACACUGAGGAACGAAAGCCAGGGGAGCAAACGGG